AUUGAACGCUGGCGGCAUGCCUUACACAUGCAAGUCGAACGGCAGCGCGGGCUUCGGCCUGGCGGCGAGUGGCGGACGGGUGAGUAAUGCAUCGGAACGUGCCCAGGAGUGGGGGAUAACGUAGCGAAAGUUACGCUAAUACCGCAUACGUACUGAGGUAGAAAGCGAGGGAUCGAAAGAGCUCGCGCCCAUGGAGAGGCCGAGGUCAGAUUAGCUAGUUGGCGGGGGAAAAGCCCACCAAGGCGACGAUCCGUAGCUGGUCUGAGAGGACGACCAGCCACACUGGGACUGAGACACGGCCCAGACUCCUACGGGAGGCAGCAGUGGGGAAUCUUGGACAAUGGGGGAAACCCUGAUCCAGCAAUGCCGCGUGUGGGAUGAAGGCCCUCGGGUUGUAAACCACUUUUGGCAGGAAAGAAAUCGCCUGUGCUAAUACCACGGGCGGAUGACGGUACCUGCAGAAUAAGCACCGGCUAACUACGUGCCAGCAGCCGCAGUAA
rnacentral:rRNA from 1 species